GAGGGUAUAGCUCAGUGGUAGAGUGCAUGCUUAGCAUGCACGAAGUGCUGGGUUCAAUCCCCAGUACCUCCA
rfam:Camelus ferus unplaced genomic scaffold scaffold716, whole genome shotgun sequence.